AUGAACGCUGGCGGCGUGCUUAAUACAUGCAAGUCGAACGAAGCUCCUUAUCUUCGGACGAGGAGUCUUAGUGGCGAACGGGUGAGUAACGCGUUGGUGACCUGCCCCGAAGUGUGGGAUAACAGUUCGAAAGGACUGCUAAUACCACAUGCGAUCGUUUGGAUUAGACGCCUUACGAUUAAAGGAGUAAUCCGCUUUGGGAGGGACCUGCGUCCCAUCAGCUAGUUGGUAAGGUAAUGGCUUACCAAGGCUUUGACGGGUAUGGGACCUGAGAGGGUGACCCCCCACACUGGCACUGAAACACGGGCCAGACACCUACGGGUGGCAGCAGUAGGGAAUCUUGGACAAUAGGCGAAAGCCUGAUCCAGCAAUGCCGCGUGCACGAUGAAGGUCUUCGGAUUGUAAAGUGCUUUUAGAAGGGAUGAGUAAGGACAGUACCUUCUGAAUAAGCCUCGGCGAACUACGU
rnacentral:rRNA from 1 species